CGAUCUUUGGAAGGAGUGGCGAGGCGGAGAGAGGAGGGGCAUGAAGAGUUAGGGGAAGGGAAAGAGGAGGGGCAUCUCCCGCCCCUCCCCGCCGCGGUUGGCUGGGAAAAAGUCGUGGCGUCACACAGGUCCCUUGAAAUGGGCUGGUGAAUGGCUAGGUUGGGGUGCACCGGGCGGGCUGUGGAAGAAGAGUGGUGACGCCAUUUCAAGGCUCCGCCCCCUCUCUCGGAGCCGAAAGACUCAGGCCGCAGAAGCUCGGACCAAUCAGGAGAAAGGCUCCAGGAGGGCAUGAAAAAAGAGAUCAGAAAAUUUUCCUCAGUAUCUUCAGUCUAAAGAACUAGGAGGUAUGCCGAAGCUGGGAUCCUUAAACAGUACACACUUAUGGAGAGUCUGGAGGAGAAGACAUUGGAUGAGGAUGUUCCAGGGAGGAAUUUUCCUGUGAUGAUGGUGAUUUCUGAGUAGAAGGAUCUCUUCUUUAGUACUGCAAGGGAUGUGGCCCACAGGCUUCUUGUUCCCAGGGAUCUCUGCCUGGGUAAGGAUUUCUUUGUGAAUCCAGAGCACCCUGGACCCACACAUUCCUACUCUGCCUAAUUCUCAUAGUGUCCCUUUCAAUUGUUGUCAUCUUCCUUCUUCCAUUGUAAAGACAAGCAGUUUGGUGCAUAGUCACAAAAGUUUGCUGAGCCAAGCCCUGUUCUGAGCAUCAAGAGCCCAGAGAUGUCCACAGCAAAACAUUUCACACGGGAACAGAAAGGGGAGGGGGUGCAGCCUAGCAAACUAAAACAAUGGCCUUCCCUUUAUUAGCACUCUGACCACAAUACAGCAAAAGCAAAGAAACAAACACAAAAAACUUGUUGUCUGUCUCCCUCACCUUCCUGGGAACUCAUUUAAUGAUAGAACCCUGCCUGUCCUAAUUAAUUUCUGGCUUUUUCAAUUUAUCCCAGGGCCAAGCAUAAAGAAGGAGCUCAGAAAAUAUUUGUUGAGUUGAA
rnacentral:lncRNA from 1 species